rnacentral:lncRNA from 12 species
AAAUAGCAGGAAAUGAGGAAAACUUUCCUGGCUGAGAUCCCAUUGCCAUCCCUGGAAGUGUCCAAGGCCAGGAUGGACACAGAGGAAAGUGUCCCUGCCCAUGGCAGGGGUGGGAUAAUGGGAUAAUGGGAUAAUGGGAUGGGAUGGGAUGGGAUGGGAUGGGGGGGGGGGGGGGGGGGGGGGGGGGGGGGGGGGGGGGGGGGGGGGGGGGGGGGGGGGGGGGGGGGGGGGGGGGGGGGGGGGGGGGGGGGGGGGGGGGGGGGGGGGGGGGGGGGGGGGGGGGGGGGGGGGGGGGGGGGGGGGGGGGGGGGGGGGGGGGAUGGGAUAAUGGGAUGGGAUAAUGGGAUGGGAUAAUGGGAUGGGAUGGGAUUGAAGGUCCCUUCCCACCCAAGCCAUUCUGGGAUUCCCAGAAUCCGUGCACAGCAGGAUAGGAGGGGAGGGACAGUGACAUUUCAGGCCAACCCAGGAUCCAAACCCACAGGAGCCAAACACAGAGGUGAAGGAUCCAAUCCCAGAUACGAUGGAUCCAAAUCCAGAGGCAGAGGAUCCAAAUCCAGAGGCAGAGAAUCCAAAUUCAGAGGUGAGAAACCCAAAUCCAGAGGUGGCAGAUCCAAAUCCGAAGGUGAAAAAUACAAUCCAGAGGUGGAGGAUCCAAAUCCGCAGGUGAAGGUACCAAAUCUAGAUUGAAGCAUCCAAAUCCAGAGGGGCAGGACCCAAAUCCAGAGGUGAUGGUUCCAAAUCCAGAGGGUCAGGACCCAAAUCCAGAGGUGGAGGAUCCAAAUCCAAAGGUGAAGAUCCAAUCCAGAGGUGGAGGACCCCAACCCGGAGCUGAAGGAUCCGGAUCCAGAGGUGGAGAAUCCCCGUGGGAUGUCCGGCCAUGGCAUCACUUCCCUGGCCCAGCCCUCCUCUGCUGCUCCUGGAGGGAUUUGUAACCACGGGAAGCCGCCACAAAGCCCUGGGAAGGGCAGGGAACACCGGGAACAGCUCCGGAUCCCGUUUUUUCCCGGCUGUGGAUCCAGGCUGGUGCCAUUGGGAUGGCCUGGGGAGGCAGCGGAUCCGGGAAUGUGGCUGGCUCCAGGCAAUUCCCGAACCUUGGUGGUUUGGGAUCCAUCUGAGCAACUUUGGGAUUCCAGGAAAUCCCGGAGGGACAGAGGAGUGGCAAAGGGUUCACGGGAGAUCCACGGAAUUCCAGGCUUGUCACGGAAUUUGGGAACAUCCCCAAGUGACCCUGACACCAAUUCCCGGACACCUGGAUCCCAGUCUGGGAUCAUCCCCAAAAUUCGGGGUAUUUGACGAUUCCCUGAUUAUCCAUUUCCACCCUUUGGUCCGGAAGUGAUCCCUGGAGCGCUCCAGGUCCCAGCUGGAACGCAGGCAGGACCCUUGGGGACCCACAACCGCUUCCAGGUGCUGGAAACCGACCGAGGAAAGAGCAAAAAGACUCUCGGAAAAACGGGGAAAAUUCCCAAGUGGGUCCUGCAGGGUAAUUCCACUCACCUUGGAUUUGCUGGGAGCCACACAGAUCCGGAGCCAGCCGGGUAAUUCCACUCACCUUGGAUUUGCUCGGAGCCACACAGAUCCGGAGCCAAUCCCUCAUCCUGUGUUUCCAGGGAUUGUGGUUUGUGCUUUUACCGGGAGCUUUCCCUCUGGAAAAUGACUCUGCUACCCUCAGAAUCCUUGGAUAAUCCCGUUUUCCUUCAUUUUUCCCCCUUCCUUAAGGAAAAAAAAAAAUAAAUCCCAGAGCUGGCUCUGAAUCCUCUCG